UUCUGAUUGCAUUUGCCCCAUAAAAUGCCAGCAGCUUCUCCCCUCUUGUUCCCUGCAGACUGAGGGGCAAGGAGCUCUCCUGUGGAUAGUUUGAAGUGGAGAAGGAGAUUAAUUGGAAAAAUUCAACUGGCUGUUGUGCUGCUUGCCUUGUUGGAAAAGGAUAUUACAUUGGCCUGAUACCCUGAGCUAUUUGCACUGAUAUCCCCAUGGAGGAGAAGAGCUGGCUGGGAGAAGAAAAUGAACAGUUCUAUUUAUGCAGCAAGUAAAUGAUUGUGGAGCAAGGACUGGUUUUCCAAGCCUUCAUUAAUGAGAUGAUUAAUAGUGACGGUGGAGCAUGGAGCUGUCACUUUGUCCACCAGAGUGCUGGUUACAUGCUGCUCCUGACACAUGCCCAGUGCUUUGGAGGGAUGGAGAGCUGCAUCACCCUCCUGGACAGAAUCAGUUGGUGGUGAGGAAGAGGCAAUGGGUGGAGUCUGCCUGGUGCCUCUUGUAGUGGCUGCUCUGAGCCAGGAGCUACCAUCUUCCCUUAGCAAAUGUCCCUGUGCUAGAUCUGAAGUCUUUCAAGUCUGGAUACAAGGGUGACGGUGUACACUUGGCUCGGUUUCUGUAAAAAUUCAUUCUGAAAAGAAGGGGUUUAUAUAUAUAUCCUCCUGUCUUUCUUGCAGUUACCCAAAUGUACCCUCUCAGCAUAGAUAAUUAAAAAUGAACACGCAUCCCCAAAGAAGAGCUAUUCCGAAGGCAGCUCAGGUGUGACCAAGCACGCCCGUUUCCAUAUUUUACCCUUUGAGAGCUUCACAAAUCGAAGAGAAUCAUUUUCAGACAGUGAUGAAUCGCUUAUAAUCCCGUUUGUUUGCUUGGAGUCUUCCUUUAAGAGAAUGUGAACACUUUUGCUGGCUGUGAAUGUGUGGGGGAGAUGUUUCAGUCUUCCCGAGGUGUGAAGAGCAGGCACGGCACCGCGAUGCUGCGGGGGGGCACAUCCCUCCUGGGCUGUCUGCAACAGGGGCACCUGGUGCUCUCCCAGCCCUGUGGGGGGUACUCGGCUUUGUCAGAAAGCUUCGUCCCAGCUCUGCUACAUCCCCCUUGCUUUAUAAACCCCCCUCUGCUUUGCUCCUGAUCUGUAUCCGACUUGCCUCCCUGGGUCUGCCUUCCCCGGAGGGACGGCUGGCACUCUGGUCCCUUGCUGGGGAAAUGCAAGGAAAUUCAUCCCUGUUGACAGGGAGGUGGAGAGGUUUUCGUAAUGGUGAGCUGCGUGUGCUGCUGCACAUGAGCUGCUUUUUACACAGGCCUAAAUCUGGAUCGAUGAUCCGCCCCGUCCUCUGAAGUGCCGUAUCACAGCUAUGACAUUUCGGAGCUGCCUUCGGUAUAUCACUGCAAACAGACUUGCCGGAGCGCUUCCACAGCUCCCAUCCCUGCUAACAAUGCAUCAUUUAGGGAAAUUAAAUCUGAAGUGUGUAUGUGACCAUCCUUCUGCUGGUCACCGGGGGCUUUGCUGGAAUAAAUAAAGUUCUCUUCUGGUCUGGCUGGCCGGAGAGUUGCCUUCUCUCAGAUCUUUCUGGCAGUGCUUAUCAUUUAUCUGGGUCCAUGUUAUGAAGUGAAGGAUCCGUGCCAUGAUGCCACUUGUUGGCAGCUGAAAUCCUGGCUCCCCUUGAUUGUGCCUGCUCUGCUGCUGAUGACAAGUCGGGAUUUUCUUGUCCCCUUUGCCAUGUGUGUGUGAGCAGGGGAAAGCCUUUCUGAUCAAGGCUCACCUGGGGCUUCUCCUCCUGCAGAACACAUCCCAGCUGUGCCUCGUUGUUAGAGGCAGAGUAAAGGAGCAAGAGCAAGCUGGGAGGAGAGCUCUGCCCUGGCCCUGCAGCAGAAGAUGCUCAUCCUCCUCUGCAUUUAUCUGCCUGCUGAUCUAGGUCUGCUCUGCCCUGGCUCCUGUUGCUCACACAAGAAAUGACCAGGGAGGACAGAACAGCAGACUUAUCCGCCGGUAUUGAUUGGAGGCAGGUCUUGAGGCACUGGCUGCGGGUGAAGGCAGACCAAAUGUGGAAAGUUACAAGAGGACAGUGCUAAAUGAUUUCAGUUGAUUUAGCAGUGGUAAAGCAAGUCGUUAGCAAAGUGCUUUAUGAAGCCGUAAACGUCCUUUCCAAGUCCUUUAUGAGAUUCCUGGGGAAAAUCUGUUUGUCACAGAAGAUUAUGCACU